GAGUUUUAACAGCGCUUGCUGCUCUUUUUCCCCCUCUAGGAGAGAGAGUCGGAAUCACAACAGCAACAGCACAGAAACUGCACUGGAGAAACAGAGUUUCAACAGCGCCUGGUGCUCUUUUUCCCCCUCUAAGAGGGAGAGUCGGUAUCACAACAGCAACAGCACAGAAACUUCAAUGUAGAAACAGAGUUUUAACAGCGAUUGCAGUUCUUCUUUUCGAAAUUACAACAACAACAGCAACAAGACUUCAAUUUAAAAAAAAAAGUGUGUUGACAGCGUAUUCAAAGGCGAGCUUUACAGCUGCUCUUUUCACUCUAAGAGAGCGAGAGAGAGUCGGCAUCACAGUAAACACAACAAAUAAAUGUAAAUGCAGUGUGCAAUUUAGACAGCAAUUUCUCAAACGAAAUGAAUUGAUGUUAUGUAUGCAUUGCACAUCUGUCAACGUGUGACGUCAACCUAGGCCAACAGCAGUCGUCAAUAGCAGCAACAGCAACAACUCUCAACGAAAUUGAUAUGAGCGAGAGAGCGACAGCAACAGCAACAGUUGCAGCUAUGCAGAAUGGAAUAUAUAAAAACACCGGCAACUGGCAAAAGAGGAAGCUGCUUAAUCGGUGAUUAGUGAUCAGCUUGUGUAUAUUUACAGCAUGCAUGCGCGCACACAGCUAGCCAUUAAUUAACAUGCAUGUCUAUGUGGGUUUACAUCUGUUAAUUAUGUACAAGGAGCAAGAAGCAGAAAAGAGUUUAAUGCGUCGAUUUUUGAAAUAAUAAGAAAACCAUAGAUUAAAAUGAAAAUAAAUAAAUG